CCUACGGGCGGCAGCAGUGAGGAAUAUUGGUCAAUGGUCGAGAGACUGAACCAGCCAAGCCGCGUGAGGGAUGAAGGUACAGUGGAUCGUAAACCUCUUUUGUCAGGGAACAAAGGCGUCCACGUGUCCCCUGAUGAGUGUACCUGAAGAAAAAGCAUCGGCUAACUCCGUGCCAGCAGCCGCGGUAAUACGGAGGAUGCGAGCGUUAUCCGGAUUUAUUGGGUUUAAAGGGUGCGUAGGCGGUCUGUUAAGUCAGCGGUAAAAGUGCGGGGCUCAACCCCGGACCGCCGUUGAAACUGGCAGUCUUGAGUGGGCGAGAAGUAUGCGGAAUGCGCGGUGUAGCGGUGAAAUGCAUAGAUAUCGCGCAGAACUCCGAUUGCGAAGGCAGCAUGCCGGCGCCAUACUGACGCUGAGGCACGAAAGCGUGGGUAUCGAACAGGAUUAGAUACCCUGGUAGUC
rnacentral:rRNA from 1 species